rnacentral:rRNA from 1 species
CAACUCGCCUGCAUGAAGCUGGAAUUGCUAGUAAUCGCGGAUCAGCAAGCCGCGGUGAAUACGUUCCCGGGCCUUGUACACACCGCCCGUCACACCAUGAGAGUCGGGAACACCCGAAGUCCGUAGUCUAACCGCAAGGGGGGCGCGGCCGAAGGUGGGUCCGGUAAUUGGGGCGAAGUCGUAACAAGGUAAC